GUUACAGACCGAUUGGACUUGAUGCUUCGUUAUGUGUUUCUUAUUUACAUAUCAAGCGAACAAAUUACCUGCAAAACUGUAAUGCAUUCACAAUUGACCCUACCAGUUGUUAAAAAGUUUUACGACACCGAAAUACUGAACACAAUAACAGGUAACGUAUCGAAAGAAAUGCGAUAAAUUAUUGUCUGAUGCUGAUUAAUAUUCGAUGACUGAGAGCAGUGAUUCUGUGCCUGGAUGUCAUGUACAACAUUUACAAAAGAUUAUCACAACAUCGAUUUGUUCCUUUAUCGACGUAAACUGGUUGGCCAUCCCUGUAAAAAUUGAACAGAUACAAUGAUACUUUAACGAGAACGUUAAAGACAUCGGGGGAUACCUUUAAGGGGGAAUGAUCCAUCGUCAUAAUGGAGGUAAUUCCGGUGAAAGUCCAUUGUCUUCCGGUAAAAACUGAUUUACUUGUGUAACAAAUAGCAUAGGAACCCGCAAACAGAAGAAGUUGGUACAUAUUUAACCACCAGUUUUCAAGAAAUUGAAUUUUGAUGUUAAAAAAAACCCACUUUUCCCCAGAAAUUAAAAAAAUAUAUAUGAUGACUAAAAA